rfam:Ornithorhynchus anatinus chromosome 1, whole genome shotgun sequence.
CUCCUCUCAGGGUUGCACCUGGAGAGUUUCCAGUACUCUACCAGUUUCGGCUAUGGGAGGGAGAGUCAAGCAGAGGCCUACCCAUUCCAUUCCCAGCUUGGGCAGUUGCUAGCAAGUGGAAGGCAAUCUGCUGCAAGU